rnacentral:rRNA from 1 species
AGCGGAGGAAAAGAAACUAACUAGCGAUGCGCAUUAUGUUAGCGGCGAGCGAACCGCGCAAGUCUCCAACUUGAAAAUCUCCCUUGGAGAAUUGUAGUCUAUAGAAGUACCCUCUGUAACGGGCGCAGCUCAAGUCUCCUGGAAAGGGGCGUCAGAGAGGGUGAGAACCCCGUAAGCUGUUGCUUCGCUGCCUCACGAGGUGCUUUCAAAGAGUCGGGUUGCUUGGGAAUGCAGCCCUAAUUUGGCGGUAAAUCCCAUCUAACGCUAAAUAUUGGCGAGAGACCGAUAGCAAACAAGUACCGUGAGGGAAAGAUGAAAAGAACUUUGAAAAGAGAGUUAAAAAGUGCUUGAAAUUGUUGAGGGGGAAGCGAUUGAAUGCUAGAGUGCGCCUAGGCUUAUGGGUUCUUAACGGAGCUCUGUAUGUGCUAGGUGCUGGCCAGCAUGGGUUAGGCGAGCGGAAUAAACGCUGGGGUUGAUACCCGGUCUAUGCCGCUUGCUUGACCAAGGCGUGAAGACUGCCCUUGUCCUUCGGGAACUGCUGUCUCAAGAUGCUGGCAAAAAGCUUUCAACCAACCCGUCUUGAAACACGGACCAAGGAGUCUAACAUGUAUGCGAGUUGGUGGGUGGAAAACCCAUGAAGCGUAAGGAAACUGACUGGUGAGAUGGCCUGUGCCUGCAUCAUCGACCGACCAUGCGUUUCUGCAUGAGGUUUGAGUGCGAGCAUACCUGUUGGGACCCGAAAGAUGGUGAACUAUGCCUGAGCAGGGUGAAGCCAGGUGAAAACCUGGUGGAGGCUCGUAGAUGUGCUGACGUGCAAAUCGCUUUUCGGACUUGGUAUUACUAGGGGGCGAAAGACUAAUCGAACCUUCUAGUA